GAGUGGAGCUCCUUGAAGUCCAAUAGAGGUUCUUGCUGGGUAGAUUAAGCUGCUAAGCUAUGGAUCCACAGUCCUAUCUAUCAAC
rnacentral:misc_RNA from 1 species